GAUGAACGCUAGCUACAGGCUUAACACAUGCAAGUCGAGGGACCGGCGCACGGGUGAGUAACACGUAUCCAACCUGCCCUUUACUCGGGGAUAGCCUUUCGAAAGAAAGAUUAAUACCCGAUUUAAAGGAUGGGGAUGCGUUCCAUUAGGUUGUUGGUGAGGUAACGGCUCACCAAGCCUUCGAUGGAUAGGGGUUCUGAGAGGAAGGUCCACCACAUUGGAACUGAGACACGGUCCAAACUCCUACGGGAGGCAGAAGUGAGGAAUAUUGGUCAAUGGGCGUUAGCCUGAAACAGCCAGGUGGCGGGAAGGAUGAAGGAUUAUGGGUCGUAAACUUCUUUUAUAAAAGAAUAUGUAUUAUAUGAAUAAGGAACGGCUAACUCCGUGCCAGCAGCCGCGGUAAUUC
rnacentral:rRNA from 1 species